CACUCACCUUCCCAUGUGGGGAUCCCUUAGAACGCCACCCGGCCCGCCCGCUGGCGGGGAGAGCGAGGCGCCGCGGAGCCUCCCCUUGAGGACAGGGGGCGGGCCAGGUCCUCGGGCGAUUCAAAGUCGGGGCCGGCGCCAGCGCUGGAGGCGGGCUCUGCCUGCGAGCCAUUGGAGGAGGAAGCCCUUCUCCCCGCCCCCUGCCUCCUAGUUCUCUCAUUGCUGGGUUUCUCGCGGCUCCUUUCUCUACCUUCUCCCUCAAGAAUGACACGGAGAGGCAAGGAGAAUACUAGGCGCCUGCGUAGUAGCCCCAAGACGCUGUCCAGGGGCAGAGAGGGGCGGCGGUAGGAGAGGCGCGCGCCCGGGAAAAGGCGGGAAACGGUGGAGGCUCGAGGCUCGCGCAUGCGCACACGUUCAACGGCGCUUGGGCGCUUCAGGAGAGGCGGCCUGGUCGCUCCGGGGCUUUGGGGGCCUAGAGACACAACCCUUCACCCUCAGCACCGGAAAAACGCCUGGCACCCUCUCUCCCGCUCCAUCCACCCCUCCGUCCCCCCCUCCCAAGGCCUACCGCCAGCCUUGGCACCGACACCAAUGACCUUCUCAUCCCUGAGGGGACGGGCCAGCCCCUCGGCGGGGAGGCCUCUAGGCUGGGCCGCCGGUGCCGGCACUUAGCUUCUGGAGUGGGGCUGCCCGUUUCCCCGCUUCCGGCUACUUCAACAAGCAAACCCCUCAUUCCAGGGAGAACACUUGAUGCCUGCUUCUGCCUGGCAGGGCUUUGGAGCCUAGAGAAUGGGGAUGGGAGCUAGACCCGUCCCCGCCCUCCCCCACUGCUUCAGAGGAGGGGAGGGAGGGCAGGCAGCCAUCACUCCCCCUCCCGCUCCCCCAGCUCUGCCUUCCUCUAGACCCGCCCUUGUCUGGGACUUGGCAGACCCCAGCUCCUCUCCUAGGCUCUCCCUUCCAGAGCACACCCCAUAAGGCCUUCAGGCCUGGCCGGACUGGGACUUAUGUGGGGGGCCAGCCUGGGAGGAGAGCAGGUGUCCUGCUGCGGAGGGAAGACCCGGGCAGCUCAAGGAUGGCUAAGGCACAGACGUCGCCGAGUCGGGAUGGACACUCCCGGAGUUCCAGGGAAAAGCCCCCGAAUAUUAGCGCCAGAGGAAUCUUGUUUGGAUCUCUUCAUUGAAAAUUUUUUUGUUUUUUCAUUCUAAAUGUAAUAUAACUACAUUAGAGAAAAUUUGGAAAGUACAAAUAAAAAAAUUUUUAUUCUAACCAA